rnacentral:misc_RNA from 1 species
AUUUGGGGUCGGCUAUAUAGAUUCGCUUUCUCCACUCUAAAAUGCUUAAGUCAGUAAUGGGAAUAAAAUGAUGAAAUACUAAAUGAAUGAUAGAGAAUGAUUCGAUUGUGGUACGUGACAGCUUCCAUAUAUAUAUAUAUAUAUAGGCGUCGGUUAGAUUUCUACUUGGAUUAGGAGUUUGAGUUGAGAUAGGCUUAGUCUCUGAAUAUCUCGGAUGUCCACUGUCAGAAUCCCUCUUGGAUUAGGAUUCUAACCCUGUCAAGUGAGUAUCUCAGAAUCCUGUCCAGGCAAAGGAGCUAGUUUUCCUGUCAACAAGGGUGCCCAGGUACCCAACCCUUGCCCAGACAUGUUGCUCGGGCGGGCGAGUAACAUACUGUCAGGUCAUUUGGGGGCGAGUAGCAUCAUUAAGGAAUGUAGAAUCAAUUGCAUGAAUGUGAGGUUUCCUAUAAUUAUUCUGUUAAGAGUAUAAGAAUGAUGCCUUAAAUUAAAUGCCAAAGUCUACUCAUUGAAGGGGUAGAUAAUGGGAACAUUGGCUGGUAAUUUUCUUCUGUAGGUUAAUUAUCAAUGGAUUUUGUUGCAAUCCCACAUAUUUUCGUUCCAGUAUUUAUUUUAGGUCAUAGCAUUUGAAAGUCAAGUUUAGCCAACUUUUAGGGCAUCUCUGAAUUUACAUGUUCCAAUUAAUAUUAUUAACUUACCAAUAAGAUAAUUUUCGUCCUAAUGAUAGAUGUUUUGCAGGCAUCAUAGGCGGUGGAUUGCUAAGAAGUUAGGGACUGAUGCUACUGCUAAGGAACUUCAGUUUACCAAGAAGAUUCUUUCCCUUGAUGCUAAAAAUUAUAAUGCGUGGUCCCACAGGCAGUGGGUAUUGCAGGCUUUAGGAGGAUGGGAAGAUGAACUUGACUUUUGUGGGCAGCUCCUUAAAGAUGAUGUGUUUAACAACUCUGCUUGGAAUCAGAGAUAUUUUGUUAUAACUCGAUCUCCUUUGCUGGGAGGCCUAAAAGUCGUGAGAGAGUCUGAAGUAAAGUAUACAGUUGAGGCCAUUUUAGCUAACCCUGAGAAUGAGAGCCCGUGGAGAUAUCUUCGAGGCCUCUACAAAGGUGACACCCAAUCUUGGAUUAAUGAUCAUCUAGUCUCUUUUGUAUGUUUGAAGGUUUUAAAUGUCAAAACCAACCAUGUAUUUGCUCUGAGCAUGCUCUUGGAUCUUCUCCGCCAUGGUUUUCAAGCAAACCAAGAGUUUAGAGAUGCUGUUGAUGCUCUGUGGAUAUCAAACUCAGAGCCACUGGAGACUGACUUGGCAAAAGCAGUAUGUUCUGUUUUGGAGUCUCUGGAUCCAAUGAGAGUUAACUACUGGACUUCGCGCAAGAGCAAGCUGCCUGUGUCGGCCUAACUAAUUACUGAGUUGAGCAUUAUCUGUGGCUUCUUGGGUUGGUUCUUUACCCUAGUAGAUUUGCAGAGUUGAAGACAUAGCUCUCAAUAGUGAUUUCUUGUAAUUUGUAUUAUUAUAAAAUUAUAGUUUAAUUCAACUUGUAGUAGUAUAUAAGGAUGUAUUUCCUUGCUAUUCAAAUUCACUGUGACAUGACACUUCAAAAUUGAGUAAACCUUGUACUAUUAUUGUUAAUUUUUAUGUCCUUAAGGUUGCGUAGACAUUGAAGUUCAUC